UACGAAGGGGGCUAGUGUUGCUCGGAAUCACUGGGCGUAAAGGGUGCGUAGGCGGGUCUUUAAGUCAGGGGUGAAAUCCUGGAGCUCAACUCCAGAACUGCCUUUGAUACUGAGGAUCUUGAGUUCGGGAGAGGUGAGUGGAACUGCGAGUGUAGAGGUGAAAUUCGUAGAUAUUCGCAAGAACACCAGUGGCGAAGGCGGCUCACUGGCCCGAUACUGACGCUGAGGCACGAAAGCGUGGGGAGCAAACAGG
rnacentral:rRNA from 1 species